GCAUUUAUAGCCGAGUGGACGAAGGCACGGGACUCAUAAUCUCGCUCCGAAAGGACAUCGCUGGUUCGAAUCCAGCUGGAUGCA
rnacentral:tRNA from 1 species